ACAAAAACGUAUCAAUAAGACUCCUCCUACUCAGAUCCAAGCAUCUACACAACUGAGCUUCAAAAUUACCUGUUGAAAGCAUGACCGGGGGAGCUAAAGUGGCGGACGGGGGUAGUUGUGGCGGUGGCGCCGGGGAGCGAGUGAAAAAGUGCGGAAGAUUGACGGAGGUAGCUGAUGGAUCUUAGGGCCACUGAUCUAGAAUGGAUAAUUUGGUUCAUCGUUUUUGUUCUCUCCAGGUGAAGACACGUCGGAUGCCACGUCAGAAAUUCGGCUCACGACAGCGCGACAUGUGUACAUUUCAUUUAUUCACAUUUCUCUUGAGCCUGAAGUGAACGGUAUUGGGCUCUCCAUCUCUCUAAUAUUGCUUCCUCUUGGAUACUUCACUGUAACAUUAUCUAGGUCGUCGCCGGCAAAGUGGUUAUCAUGUUCAUACGCCAGCCAUGGAAUCGCGGUGUUAUGUUGACUGAUUGGAUUUCGACAUAUCCUGUUGGACAUAGCACCGAUGACUUUUCGAAUUGCUUCUACCUACCAGUGAAAGAAAUCCAUGAACGUUACACAUUUUGGCUGAAUUCAAGCGUUGCUAUUAAUGCUCUCAUUAACGAUGGAACCCCACUCUUCACACGAUUUGUGAUUGGAUACAUCUCCCAUUACUUAUAUUGUGUGAUCUUCGAGUAUAAAUAUGUAAGCUUCAUCCUCUGAAAUUCAUAAGUUUAAUUUUCUCAAUAGUUAGAUUUCUAAAUUACAUAGUUAAGAAUGGCUACACCUAGGUUUGACUGCUUAGGUUUUGGGAGUCACUAAAAGUUAAGCGCCGCAGAGAGCUUAUGGGUAUAGAUAUGCUCCUCCUUUAUGCGAAGGCGACUCAUUCAAGCCACCGUCAAUACCUCCUGUAGAUUCCUUUUUAUCCAGCUGCAAUCUUUCCAUGUGAAACUGAUGGAGAAGCAAUGAACUCUGUUUUAUACUAUAAAGUUUCAGAUAAUUAUUUAAAGAGCUUUCACCUCAUUUGAAGAAAGCAUUCAGAUUCCUGGUGCAAAUGGUGGUUACAGACAAUACUGAUGCAGCCCAUUUUUGUUGCAUUGGAUGGGUCAAUAACAAAGCUAAUCAAUGUCCGUGCCUCUGAGGUUUCCCUGGUAUGGUUCGCCACAAGACCAAGCACAUGGUAAACCAAGGGGAAUAAGAACUGCUAUGUUUUUUUAGCUGUGGAAACAGAGUAUCCAAGCUCACUUGAAGCUUUGCAUAAUUGAUGAGCCAAGAAAAUUACAAUCCUUAAUGAGAUUUGAUGUGAGUGGUUUAUGGGUUUAGUAAUUAGGUGUUCAAGGUGAUGCAAAGUUUAAUUAUUAUUCUUGAUUACAUUUUGAAUUCAUAAGAACGUGAUAUUUGGUAGCUACAGCUAGCAUGGAAAACACAUGAGGAAUAUAGUUCUGAAUGUAAUAAUUGUUUCCAUUCAGUUUUAUGGGUAUUUUUGAAAGGAAAAAAGUUUAAGCCAUCAAUGAGGAAAUCAUCAGAAGUGUACAUUGUCAACCAAUUACAUGUAAAUGGACCAUUUGAAUGGUGAGACAAACUUAUGAACUCUAAUAAAAAUAACUAAAUAAAUAGUAAAAUUUAAUGCUUAAUUGGAAGUAAAUUUAUAAUUUCAAUUUUUUAAAAAUUUAAGAUUUUUAUAUUAUUUAGGUUUUAGUAAAUAGAAACAUUUGAUUGUAAUGAAAAAAAAAUAAAGUUGGUAUUUGUUAUAUUUGAUAACACAACAUAACACACAAUAUUAGGUUAUCAUACAUAAAUAAAAUUAAAAAAUAAUUUCACUGUUUACAUAAAAAAAAAAAAUUGAUACAUCUAUAAAAUUAUGACAACAAUAAUAUCGAUGUACGGAAAUAAAAAAAAUUAGUGAGAAAGAACGAAGUAAACAAUACAUAUAACCAACCAUUUAAAUUUAAAUAAAUUGUUAUUCGAAAUUCUCUCAAGACACAUAAAUUGCUAUUCAAAAUUCUCUCAUGACACAGGAGGUGAUGUUUUGUGUGUGUUGGUUGUGCUUCUUGCGAUGGCUUCCCUAAAACACAUGAGGUGAUGUUUUGUGACUUUCAUGUCUUUCUCAUUUUUAAAUUUUCUGAUUUGAGAUUAAUAUGAUGCUCUGUUUGCAGAUUCAGUUGACAUAUUUUGAUCCAGGGAGCUCAGUAACAACGCCACGAUCUCAUGGUCCGACCAAAGAUGCAGUUGGGUGAACAGUCCUUUUAUUGACGUUGUUCUGUCCAAAGAGAUUCUUUGAUAUUUUUAUUUUCAGAAAUUACAUAAUUAUCUAGCAAUAAUGACUAUAACAGUAGUGUCCCUAAUUUUUUUUUGUGUUUUUGUGUAAGAUAAAUUUCACAUCAAAAUUAUUUUAAACAUUAAGUAAAUAAUAAAAUGAUAUUGUGUAUUAUUCUGUGUGUUUUAAAUAAAUAUUUUACUUCGAUU